AUUGUAUCCAUCGGAUCCAUCUUUUUUUAUAAGUAUUAAAAAAAAAAUGGAUCCAAUGGAUAAGUAUUUAGUUAUAGCUAAAUACAUAUCCAUUGGAUCCAUCUUUGUUUAUAAGUAUUAAAAAAAAAGAUGGAUCCGAUGGAUAAGUA